rnacentral:lncRNA from 1 species
GCAGAAGCAACCCAGGGGUCCACCGACAGAGGAACGGAUCGACAAAAUGUGCCACAGCAUUCUGUUGGCUUUACAUCGGAUUCUGAGCCACGUGAAACAGAGCAGCUCUUUUCUGUGUAUCCAGCUCCAAAGAAUGCAGCGUCGCUCUCAGCUCCCAGCUUCCAAGGAAACAGGUCUGCUGUCGGUUCCUGUUUUGCACUCAGCAUGCGAGGUUCCUAAGCAGGGGCUCUAAACAUUUUCCAAGAGGACAGUUCUUCCUGCUCCUUGAGGGGGAAGAUGUUUUUGAAUUAAAGAUGGA